GCAUUAGUAGCUCAGCGCCAGAGCGCCGACCUUGUAAGCCGGACGCCGGGGGAUAAACUCCCCCCUACUGCU
rnacentral:tRNA from 3 species